GGCCCCAUAGUGUAGUGGUUAGCACGUCUGCUUUACAUGCAGAAGGUCCUGGGUUUGCGCCCUAGGUGGAGCCA
rnacentral:tRNA from 1 species